CUACGUGCCAGCAGCCGCGGUAAUACGUAGGGGGCGAGCGUUAUCCGGAAUUAUUGGGCGUAAAGAGUGCGUAGGUGGCACCUUAAGCGCAGGGUUUAAGGCAAUGGCUCAACCAUUGUUCGCCUUGCGAACUGGGGUGCUUGAGUGCAGGAGGGGAAAGUGGAAUUCCUAGUGUAGCGGUGAAAUGCGUAGAUAUUAGGAGGAACACCAGUGGCGAAGGCGACUUUCUGGACUGUUACUGACACUGAGGCACGAAAGCGUGGGGAGCAAACAGGAUUAGAUACCCUGGUAGUCCACGCCGUAAACGAUGAGCACUAGGUGUCGGGGUCGCAAGACUUCGGUGCCGCAGUUAACGCAUUAAGUGCUCCGCCUGGGGAGUACGCACGCAAGUGUAAAACUCAAAGGAAUUGACGGGGACCCGCACAAGCAGCGGAGCAUGUGGUUUAAUUCGAAGCAACGCGAAGAACCUUACCAGGACUUGACAUC
rnacentral:rRNA from 1 species